AGUGGGAUAGCUGGGUCAAAUGGUGGUUCGAUUCUUAGUUUUCUAAGGAAUUUCCAUGCUGCUUUCCAGAUUGGUUGCACCAAUUUGCAGUCCCACCAGCAAU
rnacentral:pre_miRNA from 1 species